rnacentral:rRNA from 1 species
UAACGAACGCUGGCGGCAGGCUUAACACAUGCAAGUCGAGCGCCCAGCAAUGGGAGCGGCGGACGGGUGAGUAACACGUGGGAACAUGCCCUUCGGUACGGGACAACGCAGGGAAACUUGAGCUAAUACCGCAUACGCCCUAACGGGGAAAGAUUUAUCGCCGAAGGAUUGGCCCGCGUCUGAUUAGCUAGUUGGUGAGGUAACAGCUCACCAAGGCUUCGAUCAGUAGCUGGUUUGAGAGAGCGACCAGCCACACUGGGACUGAGACACGGCCCAGACUCCUACGGGAGGCAGCAGUGGGGAAUCUUGGACAAUGGGGGAAACCCUGAUCCAGCCAUGCCGCGUGAGUGAUGAAGGCCCUAGGGUUGUAAAACUCUUUCGGCGGGGACGAUAAUGACGGUACCCGCAGAAGAAGCUCCGGCUAACUUCGUGCCAGCAGCCGCGGUAAUACGAAGGGGGCUAGCGUUGUUCGGAAUUACUGGGCGUAAAGCGUGCGCAGGCGGCUCAUCAAGUCAGGGGUGAAAGCCCGGGGCUCAACUCCGGAAUUGCCUUUGAAGCUGGUGGGCUUGAGUGCGGGAGAGGUGAGUGGAAUUCCCAGUGUAGAGGUGAAAUUCGUAGAUAUUGGGAAGAACACCGGUGGCGAAGGCGGCUCACUGGCCCGUUUCUGACGCUCAUGCACGACAGCGUGGGGAUCAAACAGGAUUAGAUACCCUGGUAGUCCACGCCGUAAACGAUGGACGCUAGCCGUUGGCCAGCUUGCUGGUCAGUGGCGCAGCUAACGCAUUAAGCGACCCGCCUG